UACGUAGGUGGCGAGCGUUGUCCGGAAUGACUGGGCGUAAAGGGAGCGUAGGUGGCAAUUUAAGUUAGAUGUGAAAGCCCAAGGCUCAACCUUGGAAUUGCAUUUAAAACUGGAUAGCUAGAGUACAGGAGGGGUAAGCGGAAUUCCUAGUGUAGCGGUGGAAUGCGUAGAUAUUAGGAAGAACACCGGAGGCGAAAGCGGCUUACUGGACUGCAACUGACACUGAGGCUCGAAAGCGUGGGGAGCAAACAGG
rnacentral:rRNA from 1 species